GCAUAUCGGCCCGCCGCUGUACACCUGUCCUGCUGCUGGAUAGACAUGAGAAACAUAAAUAACCGAACAGUUCUUGUUCUUUUCGGUCACUCAAAAAUUAUUUACAAAAAGGCAAAACAAACAGCAUAACAGUAGUGUAUGCGACUCUCAUCCUAUAUUGAGAAACAGUUGAAAUUUAAGUCAUUAUUUGCUGAAAACAAUAUCUCUCCAAGCAUUUUGACACCGUCAUGGACACCAAGCGCCUUUGAUUCUCAUGUAUCUUGUCGCUGAUCACAACAUGAGUUUGAUAUUCACACUUUGAUUAAAUGGGAAACACCAGCUCAGACAUCCUGCAAAACUCCUAUUUUAUGGGAAAAAAAAGGAAGUCACAUGGUCACAAAAACAACAUGAAGGUUCCUGAUCCAGAAGCACCAGGGAGCAGAUGAAACCAUAUAAGAUCAUCUGAUGAAGAUCAUCCUCUAUAAUAUCACACUGAUUAUAAUGAAUACAGAGGAAAGAUUCUGCUUAUUUUCACACACUUCAGUCGCCCUCAUCUGUGUCCGAGUAACGGUGUCUUAAAUUAGACAACCUCAUUCCCACAGCGGCGAGAUAAAAAUACAUCCUCGUCAUCUGUCAACACUUCACUCUCAACACAAGUCACUGUCUUCUGCUCCAGAACGGUCAGGAAUGGUUUAACCCCAGUGUUCCACUUCGACAUCCUCAAAAAAUAUAUUCACAUAUUUAACCAGUCCACCAACAACAUGCAUGUACGUCAAACACACACACAUUUUAAAAGGUCUAAACAUUCACAUCAUAACUGAAGCUGUUUUACUGGCAGAAACUCUGCAAGAUUGCAGCUUUGUGAAAGAAACCAGCUGAUUAUGACAGAUCAGUUCCUGGUGAUGUUUGUGUGUCACAUGCUUUUUAACACGUCUCACAGACACGAAUGUGUUGUCUUGUGUGAUCAUUUAAAGAACGUGUUUUCAUCCCACCACAAUAUGGGUUUGGAUUUAGAUGAGAUAUGACAUCAUGUUUUACCCUCUCAGUGCAUGCAAUCAUGUGACCAUAUAUAUAUGCGUGCAUGUGAAUGAACCGACGGAGAAGCUCUCACUUCAACCCAAACCACUUCUCAGAUGUUUCUCCUCAGAAAACGAGGCACACAAAAACAUCUUCCGGGAAUGUUUUGCCAACGUUACGUCUGAAUGUUCUCUGAACGAUCAAAAUGUUUUUUCGGUUAUGCAAAUGUUAAGGGAACAUUCCAUUUCAUCAUUCUUCAAACAUUAUGGGAACGUUACUUUGGAACGUUCUUCUGAAACAAGUAGUAACAUUCAAAAAAAUGUUUAACUGAAACGUUUUAGAAAAAACAAACGUUCCAUGAACGAUGUAUAAAUAAUGUUUUGAGAACAUUAUUAAAGACCAGUUAAUAUUACUGGAAGAACGUUUGUUCAUAACUUUGAGAAAACUUUGCCAGAACGUUCCCUGUUAGCUGGGCUCAUAUGUGACUCCUCUAGAGCUUCAGAAGAGCCAAAUAUGAUCUCAAACAUUUCUCAUCAAACAAUUUGAGCUGCUGUCUGGAUUCAUUUUAUACCCUAUAUCUGUAUACUGACAACUGAUUGGAUCAGUUUUAGGAGAAAGUUAAACAUAAUCGAGGACUCUUUGAAGACUCGUUCAGCUCCAAACUUUAUGGCUCUGAUUCUUGUUUAUUCUCAUUCCUUUCUUCAAAAGUCUCAUCUGACCAACUAACUCCAUGAAUGUUUCUGUCAACCCACAACUUUAUAUGUUCUCAUUUCAUCUAGAUAACUAAUGAACAUUUCAAUGCAUACAUUAAUAAUUUUUGUCAUUUUUUUCUGUAUUUUGACAGAAUCUGAGUGGCCUGCAGUGGAACAUCUUCAGAUCCAUUGAACAACUCUAUUAAUAAAUGCAUAUUUUUCAUA